CACCAAAAAGUGAUUGACUCGAUCGUUUUAUUAAUUAUUUAUUAUCGCCUAUGAUAAACAAUUAAAUUAAAAAUAUAAUGCAUGCCGUUGCGACGAUCACUUUCUUCAGUUUCUUGUGAUCUUCUGGGGUAUUUUAAAAGAUCUUAUAGCCAUGUUUUUAACGCUGAAAUGGUUGUUUGUUUGUUUGUCAGAUAAACUGUUAGAAAUAUGACUGUUAAAUAUUCAUCCAUCUGUAUGCAAAUUUAUUCAUUGCCGUUUACUAAUUUCGAACGCAUCUAAACUGUCGCAGCCUCCAGCUAAACGCAGACGCGUUGAGCUUACGUUAGAGGAUAAGAUAAAGCUCAUCACGGAAUCAACUGCUCAACUUUGGGAUUAAUCAAAACAAGUCGGUAUGGAUUUUUUUUGCUUUUAAUCGAUUAAAAACACAUUUUUUAAGAAUGCAAUUAACAUCAUCAGUACCUGCGUACAGUUAUCACAUGGUACAUGUAAAUGUAUAUGGUUUGUUUUAUUUUUAUGUGAUUCUGUACACAAUGCAUACCAUGUAUAUUUCGGCAAUAUGAAAACUCUUGGUAAACCGGAACUCUCUGAAAACCGGACGAUCAGGUCUGUCCCGAGACCGUCCGGUUUACAGAGAGUCUGUAUAUUGUGUUUGGCCUGUCUGUCACUGUUUGUGUCUGUCACAAAAUUUUUGGGUGGUGAAAGGUCUGUGUUAUCCUUCAAGGUCAAAGAUAUGGCUUCAAAGCGGGCAGUCGGGGGCAUUGUGUUUCACAAACACGGCUCUUGUUAGUAAUAUCAUAGCAAUUCAAGUCAGUGCAUUCUCAUCGGAUCAUUUAAAUUAUUUAGAAUUGAAAAUGAUCAAGCCUCAUUAAAACCUUAACCUAAGCUUAUACAAAAAAAUGUAAUAGACUUUCAUUUAAGAGCUACAACCUGUAGCUACAACAUGAUGAUCUUAAAUUGUAAUAAAACUAUUUUAAUUAUGCUCACUUAAUUAUUUUUAUUUUCAAUUUUAUACUCAGUUGAAUAAAAAUAUAUUUAUAUUUUUAGAUUUCCACAAGGACCAGCUGUUCUGCUUGUCAAGCAGGAAUUUUUUAGGAAAUGUCAGCUGCCAAAUGUAGUUGGAGCAGUCGACGGGACCCUUGUUCCCAUUAUCAAACCUGCUGAGUCUGAAGAGGCCUAUGUGUGCAGGAAGGGGUUCCAUGCCAUUAAUGUGCAGGCUGUCGUUGACGCUAACAUGAGGUGCACAGAUGUCGUGUCAAGAUGGCCUGGUACGACACAUGAUGCUGCGGUGUUUGAUAGCAGUAGCGUAAAGUUUACAGGAAUAUCUGAGCACCAAUGAUGUGGGUCAUCUGCUAGGGGAUAGCGGAUAUCCAUUAAGGACUUACCUCAUGACCCCUGUACCUCAUCCCUCCAAUGAUGGUGAGCAAGCCUACACCGACCAUUUAUGUAGAGGACGGAUAGUCGUAGAAAGACCAUUUGGUGUUUUGAAAUCACGAUUUAGAUGUCUGCAUCGCACUGGUGGAUGCUUGCCUUUCCAGCCUAAUAAGUGUUGUGAAAUUGCAACAGUUUGCAUGCGCCUGCACAACCUGUGUUUGGAAUAAAACGUCCCACUGAUAGACGAAGAAGUUGGGAACGAGAUUGAUCAGGAGGUUCUAAACAAUGCACCAGUGCAGGGAGCAGCAGUCAACAAGAGGCAGCAGCUGAUUGAACUGUUUCGUUAAAUGUUAGUUCUUUUAUGCCCCCCUUCAAAGAAGAGGGGAUAUAUUGUUUUGCACAUGUCGGUCCGUCCGUCCACUUAUCCAGUAAAUGGUUUCCGGAUGAUAACUCAAGAACGCUUAGGCCUAGGAUCAUGAAACUUCAUAGAAUAAUUGAUCAUAACAGGCAGAUGACCCCUAUUGAUUUUCAGGUCACUAGGUCAAAGGUCAAGGUUACAGUGACUCAAAACAGUAAAAUGGUUUCCGGAUUAUAACUCAAGAGCGCUUAGGUCUAGAAUCAUGAAACUUCAUAGGUACAUUGAUCAUGACUGACAGAUGACCCCUAUUUAUUUUCAGGUCACUAGGUCAAAGGUCAAGGUUACAGUGACAAAAAACGGAUUUACACAAUGGCUGCCACUAUAACUGACAGCCCAUUUGGGGGGCAUGCGUGUUUUACAAACAACUCUUGUUAUAUAGAGGAUAUUUGUUGGAUUCGGUGGAUUAUCGAUUUUAAUUCACGAGUGAUCAUAGAAAAUAAUAUUUUCACGAGUGGCGCAGCAAAUUUUCUUUUUAUUUUAUGCCUUUUUUUCACAGUUUAUAUACAUUUUUUAAGAGUUUAACUAAAAAAAAUCGCUGGGAUAAUGACGUCAUUUCGUCAAAAAAAUGACGUCUUUUCACAUUAAACAGUGAAAAUUAUCGAUAAUUUUCACUGAUAAUUUUCACUGUUUGAAACAGUGAAAUUAUCAGUUUUAAUUCACUGAUAUUUUUCUAUAAACCACCGGAAAGCAUUAAAUAAUAUUUAUUUAUUACAUUGUAUUAUUAUUUAUUUA